UCAGAACUCACUGAGUGAUCUGAGAGAGAAGAAGAAAGGGGGAGGGGAAGCUGAAAGGCUUCUGAAGAGGGAGGAAAAGGGAAGAGGGUAGGCAAACUUGAUCCAUUAGUUAUCUAAUAUACCAUCAAAAAUACACCCUCAAAUUAUCAUCGAGUACAGUGUGCAAUAGUGGGUGACAAAUCAGAAUUAAACUAACUACCCCUGGGCAGUCUUAAAAAAAUCUUCAACUGUGAUUGGUAGAUGUAAAUUUAGGGAGACACAGGAAGUGAUGCAAAGGAAGUGUCUUUAAAAGGAGCUGUCACUUCCUGUGAGAGACAGGUCUUCAUUCUGUGGAAGUAGAGACUGGAGACUUCUUCAUUCUUUGGAGUGGAAGCUGAAGGAAAAAUCUGCUGACUGGACCUGAGACCCUAUUCCUGAUGAGACUGUUGGACUGACAAGUGAAUGUAAGUUCCUUGAAGGAAGAAAUCUUUCCUUUUUUGUCUGUAUCCUCAGUGACUAACUCAGUACCUGACACAUACCUGAAAAAGAGCCUUGCUAAUUUCAAAGACUGGAGUCUAGUGGACCAUCUCAUCUUCAAGCCAGUUGGUUAAUUUGCCUUUAUUAAGCAUUUACUGUGUAUGAAGUAUUGUGCUAUUUCCCACUGGUGUAUUGUACCUCUAAUAUAAUAUUGGUUCCUAUCUUCUUAUAAAUAUCCUAAAUGUUGCCCCUGGAUCAGCUCUUGGCAGAGUCUACA
rnacentral:lncRNA from 1 species